GUCGUCCAUGAUGCUUUCGAUUUACCGGUCGUACGAAACAAUUCUGCUAGAAAUUCUACCCUUAAAUGUUGGGAAAUUGCUUUCAGAUUCAAACGAGAACAUGCAGGAAAAGAAAAUGAGGACCAGGACAAUUGUUAAGAGAGGAUGCAGCAUCGACGAUAAACGUUGAUGCACUUUGUUCACCCAACACCAACAGUUAGGCUUUGAUAUUCUGGGGAUGUAAAGGAGAUUGGUUAAAUUUAUGAGUGAAAUGUAUGAAUCCUCUAAAAUUUGCCUCAACCUCCUAAACAUUCACAGGCCAAACCAGCGAAUCUACUUUUUUGGGUGAUGUUGAAAUGAUUCCAGACAGCAGGGCUCCAUGCCUAUUGAAAAUUUGUUGCUUGACAGAAAGAAAAUGUUCCCAGAUGCAGUGAACCUGUGGCCAAGAUGUAUUCAACACUUUUCUGGCAGACUAAAUUUUGGUUUAUGGUGCAAAAUAAUUUCCACUUCAAAUAUGAUGUGUAGUCUGCUUCAUCUAUUGUCAAACUAGCUACCCGUGAAGACUGUUACAUCAGAGUUUUUACGUAAUUUUCUUUUCAAAUUUCUUGACCGUAAUAUGAGAAAAGAAAGAAAAAAAGAAGAAAAGGCCAAAGAUAU